CACGGCCUGGGGGCCUAGAGAGGGGUUGCUGAUCACCCGCCGCCCAGGGCCGGGGCCCCGCACCAUCCGGCGGCUAGCUCCGGAGAAGUGGCUCCCUCUCUCCACCCACCCACCCCCACCUCUGAGAUCGCCUGGAGAACGCGAGCUGCCGCCUCCUUCUCGGCCCAGCUGCACCUCCCAGGGGAGCCGAGGGCGGGCGUGGACGGGACCGACGUGGAACGCAUUCUGUAGCCCAGACGGGCGGUCCCUGAGGCUUAGGGCCUGGGGACACGCCCAGCUGGAGAGGCGGUCAGGGCGGACGAAGCCGGAGCCGCGGGGCUCUGAGGGUCCCAGUCAGAGCGCAGCCGAUCCUGGGGAGGCGAGAGGUGAAUCGACCUGGCCCCUUCGACAGCCCGGCUGCUAGGCCAGCAGUGCGACUCCCUUCCGAGCUGAGCUUGCCCUGCGCGCAAAGGAGCGAGGCUGGGGCGCCAGUGGAAGCGGGAGUUCCGGGGUGGGCGGGGAGGCGACUGUCCGUGGUGCUGAGCGCCGGCGAGAGCAGGCGCGGAGCGGCUGAUCAGCUCCCUCGAACUGGGGAGGUCCGCUGGGGUGACUUCGGGCCCAGAUCCGCCGCCCGGCUCCAAAAGCCCCCAGGGCCUCCCCAGGCACCGGUGCUUGGCCCUUCCUUCGGUCAGAAAGUCGCCCCCUGGGGGCAGUUCCUCCCAAAGGGUUUCCUCGAAAGAAUCUGAGAGGGCGCAGUCCUUGACCGAAGGAAUCUCUCUGUGUAGCCUCGGAAGCCGCCAGCCCCAGAAGAUGCCUGCCUUCAACAGAUUGUUUCCCCUGGCUUCUCUCGUGCUCAUCUACUGGGUCAGUGUCUGCUUCCCUGUGUGUGUGGAAGUGCCCUCGGAGACGGAGGCCGUGCAGGGCAACCCCAUGAAGCUGCGCUGCAUCUCCUGCAUGAAGAGAGAGGAGGUGGAGGCCACCACGGUGGUGGAAUGGUUCUACAGGCCCGAGGGCGGUAAAGAUUUCCUUAUCUAUGAGUAUCGGAAUGGCCACCAGGAGGUGGAAAGCCCCUUUCAGGGGCGUCUGCAGUGGAAUGGAAGCAAGGACCUGCAGGACGUGUCCAUCACUGUGCUCAACGUCACUCUGAAUGACUCUGGCCUCUACACCUGCAAUGUGUCCCGGGAGUUUGAGUUUGAGGCGCAUCGGCCUUUUGUGAAGACGACGCGGCUGAUCCCCCUAAGAGUCACCGAGGAGGCCGGAGAGGACUUCACCUCUGUGGUCUCCGAAAUCAUGAUGUACAUCCUUCUGGUCUUCCUCACCUUGUGGCUGCUCAUCGAGAUGAUAUAUUGCUACAGAAAGGUCUCAAAGGCUGAAGAGGCAGCCCAAGAAAAUGCGUCUGACUACCUUGCCAUCCCAUCCGAGAACAAGGAGAACUCUGCGGUACCAGUGGAGGAAUAGAACAGGCGUGGUGUGACAUGAGGUGACCCACAGGAACACAGGAGGGGAAGGCAGAUGUGGAUGGCAGGUGGCCUGAACACCUGAGGGACUGGACAUCCCGUGUUCAGCAAUGUCAACAGCAUCAGGAGGGUGCCCCAAGGGCCUCAUCGCUUUCCUUCAUGCAUCCAUCCUUCUAUUCAUUCAUCCAUGCAUCCACCUGCCUCUGAGCUUUCACCUCUGAUUUUGUAAUGCCAUCAGACCCCUAGGCACCAUAAGACUUUGCCAGAACCAAGAAGCCAACAUUUCUUCAUAGACUCAACCUCACCCUGUCGUAGUUUUCCAACAAGACACUCCAAAGCCAACUGGAUUUCUCCCCUGUGCUCCAAAUGACUUUGUACAAGUGCUGGUGUCAGCACCUCCCUCUGCCCUUAACUGGCUGGAACUGGUUCAUUCUCCAUUACUGCAAGAGAAUGGAUGUCUUAAUAGAAGGAAGCAGGUGUGAUUAGUUCAGGUUAAAGCAAAAGUACGUCGUGAACUUGGAUUCCUUGAAGUCAGUUUUUCCAAGUUCAUGGCCCACUUUGUUACAGCAUCAGAGCGAAGCAUGCCCCUCUAGGUUCUCCAGUGACAGAUCCUGAAGCGUGGACUAGCAUGCUCUCUGGAGCUUAGCACUCCAGGGCUAGAUCCUGAUGGGUCUCUAAGGUCCCUCCAAGAAGACAAGGACAGGAGGCUUGAGAAGGACCAAUGGUAAUUUAAGUGGCUCUUUAAAAGUCAUGCAACAUGAACACGUUCCUGAUCCUAUUGCGAUAAUAUAUGUAUGCCCUCCCUAUGAGCACACCACUUGGGCAUUAGGACUGAAAUUCUUAAGCUCUUCCUCUCAAAAUUUCUGUGCAUCAGUAUUAUUCCUCAUUUUACAUACAGGAGGCAACUAAGACUCCUACAGGACUCAAUUGAGUAAGAGGCUUAAGAGGAUAAACUGGAGCAGAAAUAAGCCUUAGGUGCUGCCCAGUUUACACUUCCUGGGAUGAUUAUUUUUGCGGGGAGGGGACAGAGUCUUGCUCCGUCACCUAGGCUGGAGUGCAGCGGUGCGAUCUUGGCUCAUUGCAACCUCUGCCUCUUGGGUUCAAGUGAUUCUUGUGCCUCAGCCUCUCAAGUAGCUGGGCUAAAUUUUGUAUUUUUGGUACAGAUGGGGUUUCGCUACGUUGGCCAGGCUGGUCUCGAACUCUGACCUCAAAUGACCCACCCACCUCAACCUCUCAAAGUGCUGGGACUGGAGGCAUGAGCCACGGCACCCAGUGGAUAACUCUGUUUUUGAAGACUCUGACAUUGAACUUGUCUAUGGCAAUGCUUCUUUCACAAGCACAGACUGGGCUGAGGUCAACUCAGAUAGAUUGAGGUUACUAGAAAUUGGCCAAAAAAGCAGAGAGAAGAACAUGAGGUAGACUUAAAGAAAUUCCUUUAUAUAAAGAUUUGUGAAUCUGAAAUAUCCUCCAGAAGGAGAGAGUACCUGAGAAUGAUAUUUAAACUAAGAAAAAUGUUUAGUCUGAGACGGAAGAUAAGCGAAUGAGUGAUGUGAGAGGUGAGGGAUGGGUACGUGGCUUCCAAACACUUCACCUAUGAAUGCAUAAUUUUCAGAUAUUUUUCCUCUAGAUUUUGAGGGAGCAGAUAAACUGGAAACAAUUUUAGUCAGUAUCUCAUGUUUCAUUUUAAUUGAGUGACAGGUCCAAGUGUGACAUCCUUCAGCACCUAGGGACAAGAGAGGGGAAAGACGCUUUACGGAAUGUAAGAAGAUGAAGGUGACUGGGAUUCAGUGAGAGGUCCUUCAGACCUGGGACCUCCCUUAAUAGGGAAAGACCAUAUUCCAUUGGUUUCGGGCUUUACCUUAAAAGCCCAUUUUUUUUUUUUUUUCAUUCUUCCAUCCCUAGGAAAGAAAGCCCAACUUUCUUCUAUCCCUAGGAAAACUAGCCUUUUUUUUUUUUUUUUUGCAGAGUCUCACUCUGUCUCCCAGGCUAGAGUGCAGUGGCGCAAUCUCAGCUCACUGCAGCCUCAACUUCCCCAGGUUUAAGCCCCCCACCUCAGCCCCCCAGGUAACUGGGACUAUAGGCAUACACCACCACACUUGGCUAAUUUUUGUAUUUUUUAUAGAGACGGGGGUCUUGCCAUGUUGCCCAGGCUGAUCUUGAAUUCCUGGGCUCAAGCAAUCCACUAGCCUCAGCCUCCCAAAGUGCUGGGAUUACAGGCGUAAGCCACUGUGCCCAGCCCAAAACCAGACCCUUAACACUAAUGUGAGAGUCUGAUUUUGUUGAAGAAAAUAUUUGCAAUAAAUUCAAGACUCUUCUAAUUGGUAAUUUUCCACACCAUCUCUCUGAAAUAGGGGAGAGAAUAUAGGCCUGUUUUUAACUUAAUUAGGAAAACUGACCUGAGUUAGUGUGAAUUUUUUCCAGUCCCAUAGCUCAGAUAUCACAGCUUGCAGUACUGGCAAGAUGCUUACCACCACUCCAUUUUCCUCUGUGGUCCAAAAGCUCAUGUAUCUAAGUUGAACCAGGCAGUAGGCAUGAUUGCCUUUUUCUCUUCUUUUUAAAAAACCCAACUCGGAUGCUGCUUGCGUGACCUUUAAGGAACCUAUCACUCAUUUAUCCUUGACAGAUUAUCUCCCCUACUCUUUCUUUUCCUAACUUCUCCACUCUUCUCAUUCUUGGCAAUUUCAUUAGAACUAUAUAGUUUACAAAGUAUUCACUUAACUAUUUUAUUUCUUCUCUAUACCUGGUCCUGUGAGGUCGAUAUUAUUAAUACUUACAUUACAAAAGAAGAAACUGAUGCUCUCUAAGUAGCUUUAUUAAAUUAUAAGAAACCUAGCUGGUAGGUAGACGGCAAGAAUCCAGAUCUUCUGACUCCUUUUUCAGUUCUCCUUCCAGUUAGACCAUAGCUUCUUCCUUUUCUUAUUUCUUAGCUCCCAUCUAACCGUUGCCUAUCUUGCCUGUCCUAAUGUUCUCCAUCUUCUCUCACCCCUCAUCCCACUCACUGCUUCUCUACCACCUUGCUUUUUGGUGGAUGCCAGCAAUGUGUUUUGAGAGUCAGUCCUAUUUUGGUUCUCUUUCUAGUUGGUAUGUACAUCAUUUCUCCUGAAUUGCAAUUAAACUCCCUCCUGGGAGACUUGAUCAUGACUAGAAAUCUACAAGGUACUGUGAUCACCAGCCUACUUCCAUUCUCCACCGACCUCCCUGUCUCUUCCCGUAAUCCUACAAAAGACCCAGACUAGAUAUGUGUUUCUCUGGAAGCUUUAUCUGGCAUGAUGUUGCUUAUUAAAGGGCUUAGAAGAGUUCUCAAGGGCUAUUAUCACUUUAGAAACCCCAUCUGUUGUCUUGGUGCUGGAUAUUUCCCAUGUGUCAUCCUCAAUAACACAAUUCACUAACAGCCAAGCUUGGCUCAGUCCGAUUUUCCCGUUCUUACUGCUUCACAGCCAUGAAGGUGAUUGCUCGAUCCAGUUGGCUCCGAGAGCACCUUUCCCUGCUGACCUUCACUGUCACCUCAUUCUUGUAUCAGAGCCCUAACCCCAGACACUCCGUGCCUUUCCCUACCCCAGCCUUGACUGUCACCACUUGUUUAACAGCAAGCUCCUUUAGGUUCUGCAUUCCCAAACACCCACACACCCAGACUCCCUUCUGAGUUUCAGGUUUCUCCUUAGGUGUCCAACUAGAAAUAUUACUAGGAAGGUUACUUUUCAAAGCAAGGAUAUGCUGCGAAGUGUGUAGAGCAGUGCAUGUUGAAGAGACAGCAGCUUCCUCCUCUCCUCCCAAAAUUAUUGGAUCAAGAAAGAAAUUCUACUCAUCUCAGAGGGAAAAGGCUGUGCAAUUGCAUCUUUGUAGGAAGAAAAUGAAGCAAGAGCUAGACACCCUUCAGAAUAUAUCUUAGUUUCCCCUUUCCCAGUUUAACAUGAAAACGAAAACAAAAAAAAAGAAGCCUUCCUCUCACCUCAUUUUGUAAUGAAAAAUCCCCAAUCCAGUGAACUCACCUAGUCACUGCAAAUGUAUCUGAAUAGUGCUUGGUGUGCUCGCCAACCUGAUCAUCCACUUGCUGUACUAACAUCUUUUAGCCACUAACCACUCUGUCAAGUGCUAGUUUAGACCGUUAGUGUGUCAUGCGGUCAUAGAUUUGAAAACCAGCAUCAUCCAAACCUUACUUAAUCUCUAAGAUCUCAGCUGGUGGACAGCUCACGAUUAGCUCAGCCCAAUUCCUCCCCCUUAGUUGAGUUUGCAGCAGGACGCAGGAGAUAAUCACUUCCAAGCAAGUCUGAUUUCUACAUCAAACUCGGCCUCCAUCCCAGGCCAGCUAACCCUCAGAGCCAGCAAUGCUCUAUGCUUCCUCCCUGUGUCUGCUUGGUAAGAGCUUCCUCAGCUGGGCAGUGUGUGUGAUGGAGAGGGAGGCCGCUGAACGCUGAGUGCUUCCAGGCUUGUGAACCCCCAUCGAACACAAUCUGCAAAUUCUUAGUCUUGCAACAGAUGGAACUUUUUCCAUGUUAUCAUCUUCAUAUUGCCUUUUCUUGAUUUUCCACAGCCAAUCUUUUUCCAAACUCGAGAAAUGUUCCUGACCAUCUAAUCCGUCAACAAUGUAAUGCCUGUAUGUGGUGUUUUUCAGUAAACUCCUUGUUCACGUCAAUAAAGUAUCCAUAAAAACCA